rnacentral:rRNA from 1 species
CACGUAGGGGGCAAGCGUUGUUCGGAAUUAUUGGGCGUAAAGGGCAUGUAGGCGGUUUGGUAAGCCUGAUGUGAAAUCCUGCAGCUUAACUGUAGAAUUGCAUUGGGUACUGCCGAACUUGAAUCACUGAGGGGAAACUAGAAUUCCAGGUGUAGGGGUGGAAUCUGUAGAUAUCUGGAAGAAUACCGGUGGCGAAGGCGGGUUUCUAGCAGAUGAUUGGCGCUGUGGUGCGAAAGUGCGGGGAGCGAACAGGAUUAGAUACCCUGGUA